AAGGCAGCAGGCACGCAAAUUACCCACUCCCGGCACGGGGAGGUAGUGACAAAAAAUAACGAUACGGGACUCAUCCGAGGCCCCGUAAUCGGAAUGAGAACACCCUAAAUCCUUUAACGAGGAUCUAUUGGAGGGCAAGUCUGGUGCCAGCAGCCGCGGUAAUUCCAGCUCCAAUAGCGUAUAUUAAAGUUGUUGCGGUUAAAAAGCUCGUAGUUGGUUCUGCGUGCCACGCUGUCGGUUCACCGCCUGCCGGUGCAACUGGCAUGCCGUGGCAUGUCCUGUCGGUGGCGGAUAGGCUUCGCGGCGUGCCCUAUGCGGUAUACCAGCGUGUAGGUUGCUGCGCCGCGUUGUCCUUGUACGCCGGCUCAAUCCUACCGCGGUGCUCUUUACCGAGUGUCGAGGUAGGCCGACACUGUUUACUUUGAACAAAUUAGAGUGCUUAAAGCAGGCUCUUAAAUCAGCCUGAAUAGUGGUGCAUGGAAUAAUGGAAAAGGACCUUGGUUCUAUUUUGUUGGUUUCCGGAAUCCAAGGUAAUGAUCAAUAAGGACAGGCGGGGGCAUUCGUAUUGCGACGUUAGAGGUGAAAUUCUUGGAUCGUCGCAAGACGCACUAGAGCGAAAGCAUUUGCCAAGUAUGUCUUAAUUGAUCAAGAACGAAAGUUAGAGGCUCGAAGGCGAUCAGAUACCGCCCUAGUUCUAACCAUAAACGAUGCCAGCCAGCGAUCCGCCGACGUUCCUCCGAUGACUCGG
rnacentral:rRNA from 1 species